rnacentral:lncRNA from 1 species
GUAUGUCACAGUUUAUUUAUCCAUUCACCUGCUGGUGGACAUUUGGUUUGUUUACACUUUUUUGGCUAUUGUGAAUAAUGCUUCUAUCAGUGUACAAAUAUAUAGUCAAGUCCCUGCUUUCAAUACAAUUUUCAUUUUUUUUCCUAUUCUUUCUUAGAAGUGUGAUUGCUGAAUCACAUGGUGAUUCUAUUUUUAAUUUUUUGAGAAGCUACUGUUUUCCACAGUGGCUGUCCACUUUACAUUCCCAAUAAUGCACGAGGGUUCCAAUUUUUCUACAUCUUUGCCAAAUUUGUUAUUUUUUGUCUUUUUGUUAAUGAUCAUGACAACUGACUUUUGUGUAUUGAACUUGUAUCUUGUUACCUUGCUGAAAUCACUUAUUAGUCCGAGGAGCAUUUUCUAUAGAUUUCUUAGAAUUUUCUACAUGGACAAUCAUGUUACCUGUGAGCAAACAGAUGUACUUCAUGCUUUUCAAUCUGUUUACUUUUUAUUUCUUUUUCUUGUCUUAUUGCAUUAGCUAGGACUCAUAGUACAAUGUUGAUAGGAGUGUGAGAGUAACGUUCUUAACUUGUUCCCAAUCUUAGGGAGGAAAGGAUCUAGCUUCUCACAUUAAGUAUGACACUAGCUGUACAUCUUGUGUAGAUGCUUUUUAUCAAGUGGGGUAAUUUCCUUCUCUUCCUACUUUGCUGAGAGUUUUUAUCAGGAUUGGGUGUUGGAUUUUGUCAAACGCUAUUUCUGAAGCUAUUGAUAUAACCAUGUGAUUUUGCUUUAAUCUGUUGAUGGAUGGAUUGCAUUCAUUGAUUUUUAAAUGUUGAACCAGCCUUACAUACCUGGAAUAAAUCCUCACUUGGUUGUGGUGUAUAAUAUUUAUUGAUACAUUGUCAGAUUCAAUUUGCUCAUGUUUUGUUGAGGAUUUUUAUAUCUAUAUUCAGGAGAGAUACUGUUCUGUAGUUUUCCUUUCUCAUAAUGUCUUUUUCUGAUUUUUGUAUUAAGGAAAUGCUGGCCUCAUAGGAUGAUUUAGGAAGUAUUCCCUCUGAAUCUGUCUUCUGAAUGAGAAGGUGGAGGAAUGGUAUUGUUUGUUCCUUAAAUGUUUAGUAGAAUUUGUCAGUGAAAUCAGCUGAGCCCAUGGCUUUCUGUUUUAAAAGGUUAUUAAUUAUUAAUUCAAUCUUUGAUAGACAUAAUCCUAGUCCAGAUGAUCAAUCUCCUCUUUGUGUAAAUUUUAAUACAAAUCCUUCAUCCUUGUGUCUUCCAAGGAAUUCGUCCAUUUCACCUGAAAUAUCAAAUCUAUUAUUCUUUUAGUAUCCUUUUAACAUCCAUGAGAAUAGUAGUGAUGACCAUAUUCACAACUGUGUGUUGUGUUUUCAUUUUUUUCAGUUCAAAAUAAUUUCUAAUUUCAGUGAUAACUUCCCUUAGAACAUAAGAGAGUGGAAAAAAAGAAAAAUAAACAUUUCCCCCUUACCCCUUCUGAGUGUUGCAAGUCCCUUUCUUCUUCCUCAAGCCAGGUCUAAAAGUCUUAUCCCAGAGAUUUCUGUUUGUGCACUGGUGCCUAUUUCCAGGUUGGGCAGGGGGUGCCAGCAAUAAAAUGAGAAACUCACCUCAGUGGUGUUUCAAAUUCUGGCUUUCUCUCCUAUCAAAUUGCUGCUGUAAAGACAAUAUUUAAAGAGUUCUCAAGUAGCUGUUCCAUGCAUUCCAUCUGAGCUGUAUAGCUACAUUUCGUGGGAGAGGCAGGGUGGGGUGUGCUUACUUUAUCUUACUUGGGAACAGAACCUCUCUGAUAUUUCUUUCUUAAUUGAGGAAUUUCUUACAAGGUCAUAGUAAAGGGAAGCCAGAGUAGUGUGGAAACAUAGCAGAGGGUCACUUAGCCUAGAUUUGGGGGAUUAGCCUUAGUGGCAGAUAAGGGGGAGCAGGCAAGCUUUCCUGGGGGAAUUAAGUCAUGCUGUCUCUUGGCUAGGUGUAACGUGGGGAAAAGGCAUUCUGGAUGAUAGGGCCAGCUGUGGCACAAAGGUGUGAAAGAGAAAGAGUGUGGUGUCUUUAGGGGACAAAAGCAAAGGGUUUUAUACAAUUGGAGCACUAUGUGCAGCAGAAUAAGCAAAGGAAAAGGCAAGAGAGGCAGAGGUCAGAUCAGACAGUAGGACUUUGUAUCAUACUGGAGCAUUUGGAUUCUGUUGGAAAUUUUAUCGAGAGUGUAUCAGUUACCAUGGCUGCUGUAAUAAAUUACCACACAUGUAGGAGCUUAAUUUAUUCUCUUACCACUAUGGAGGACAAAAGCCCAAAGUCAGAUUCAGUGUGCCCAAGUCAAGGUGUCCCCCAGGGUGGUUUUUUCUGGAGGCGCUGAGGGGAGGUUCUGUUUCAUUGCCUCUUUCAGCUUCUAGUAGCUGCUUGGAAUCCGUGGCUUAGAGUCUGCUCCAUCUUUAAAUGUAUAACUUCAUUCUCUGCCUCCAGCAUCAUGUGGUUUUCUUCUAACUCUGACUCCUCCUUCACUUCUUUGAUAAGUGCUCUGGGGGUUACAUGAAGCCCACCAGGAUAAUCCAGGCUCCUCUCCCCAUCUCAAUAUCCUGAAUUAAUCACAUCAGCACAGUCCCUUUUGCCAUAAAAGAUAAUAUUCCCAGGUUCUGGAAAUUAGGACAUAUACAUCACGGGGUUCUUAUUCAGCCUACACAGAGAUUUCACAGAUUUUUGAUUGGAGGGGACGAUGUGAUAAACUGCCUAAUUUAUGGUGUAGAAAAAUCUGUCUGGUAACAGAGCAGCAGACUAGGGCUGGAGGCCUGCAAAAUAGUUGAGAAGAUGCAGGAAUUAUAUAUGCCAGUAACAAGAAGAUAUAGCAGGAUUGGUGGCAAUGGGAUGGAGGAGAGGGUUCACCUGGAGUGUUCAGAGGUAUAAUCUUCAGCACUUGGAGCCUACUAGGAUAUGAGAUGAGUGAGAGAAGAAGUCCAGGGGGACUCAGUGUUUCAGUCCUCACCGGUUGGGUGAUGGUGUGAUGACUGGUGAAUAGGGAGUUCAGGAGGGGGCAGAGAGAGAUUCCCAGUUUGAUUUGGAACCUGGCUUCAGAGCAUGGAUGAGAUAAGCAGCGGGUCCAGUAGCAUGAGGCCUUGAGUCUGCAGAGCAAGGCGGGUGAUGGCUAUUUGGUGGUGCUGAACACACAGGCAGCACUGGAAGCCCAGGAGGCCGAGAUGACUCAGGGGCUGUGUAUAGAAUCAGAAAGAGCACAGAAGCCGCCUACGGGAACGGUGACCUUUACAUGAGGGAGAAGCAGGGCUGUGGGAAGAAGCCACAGAGGCAGGGGGAGUGCCAGGAGGGUCUGUCCUGCUCCAGCAGCCACAGCAGAACAGGGAGUUGAUGCCUUUGGGUUCAGAGCCCUUCCUCUCCUAGGGAACGGCCACUUCUUAUCAAGUCAAACCCUGGAAGAAAAGGGUAGAGAAUGGUUUUGUGUUGCUGCUUGUCAACCUUGGGGAUCAGAGGCUCCGCUGGGAACUAAGUUGUUUCUUGGCUGUUAGCUGCCUGCACACAUGUAAGGGGCUGAGUGAGGCCCCCUCACUGGAACCAUUUGGGGCAAACAGGACCCGUUUUGCUCUCAGCUUGCCCUGGCAGCAGCUGAAAAGCUCUAUUAUCUGCCUUUCUGGGCAUACUCACUGCAGAGGCUCAAAGGCAGAAGUCCCCCGGCCUCUAAGAGUGAUUUCCAUCUCUGUUGUCAUUUCCUUAUGAAGGCCUUGUAAAAAGACAUGGCCAUUGGGGAGACCAGAGCCUGGAGACCGUGUCCUCUGUGUAUGUGGCUGUUUUUUCCUCUCUUGUGGCUUCUUCCCCAGCCCAGAGGAAGGAGAAGGAGAUAAGAGAAGGGGGCAGGAGGAUGUUGGCAAAACGUGCCAGGACAGGACCAGAAGGGAGAGUAGAGCCUUGACUUGGCCCCUGGGAAUGGGGUAAGACUUCUGGUAGAACUGGGUAGCCAGGAGGGUGUAUGUUUCAGAAGUAGGGAUGGGGGCAUGUUGAGACAGAAAAGCAAAAGUGGGCGUGAAGGACAUAGAGCAGGGCCUGGUGACUGGUCCAGCCAGACAGAGCACAGGCAGGACACUAUCCCAGCGAGGAAACAGGGAAGGGGCUCUCUGGCCCUGCCCCUUCCUCGAGAAAGAGCAAUACUUCCUGUUUGAAUUGUCCCUAUUUUUCUGCAUCCAUUCCCUGUAACCCUGCCCACUAAAGUACAAAUGUUCUGAGAGGUCUGUAUGAAUUUUUUUUCUUAUGGCCACACCCAAGGCAUGUGGAAGUUCUCUCGCCAGGGACUGAAUCUGAGCCACAGCUGCAGACUACCCCACAGCUGUGGCAAUGCCAGAUCAUUUAACCCACUGUGCCAGGCUAGGGAUCGAACCUGCACCUCUGCAAUGACCAAGCCAUUGCUUAGGGUUCUUAACCCACUGUGCCACAGCUGAAAUUCCUAUAGGAAUUUUUUUUUAAUUUAAAUUUAUAGCAUUUUCCAACAGUAUCUGACUGGGAGGUCUCAUUAUUUGAUGUUGUCUAAAUCCUGUGGCUCCACUGCAGGAGAUGCUUCAUCCCUGCAACCUGGGAAAUUCAGUUCACUCCCUCAGAUCCUGGGAAAGCCCUUCCACUCCUUGUUAAUAAAAAAUCCAAACGCUUUGACUCACUCCCUUAUAGUUCUGCCACCAUGGAGCAAGAAAAAUGGAGAGACCUUGUCUUCCCAUUUUGAUACCAAUUCUUCCCCAUCAAAGACCCACCAAAGAGAGUGGAUGUAGGGGCUGGUGAAGUGUGAUUUACGAUCCUGUCAGCUCUGUCACCUUAGGUGAGUACUCACCCUGGCAGAGCACAAGGUGCGUGUCUGUAAGGUGGGGCAGUGGUGCCACUCGAGGCUGCUGUUUAGUCAAGAGAAGGCAGUGCCCCAGGCAGGAAGCAGACAGCUAGUCCCUCCCUCUGCAGGAAGUAGGCUUAGCUUUCUAAAAAUGAUUCAGUCCUAUUUCAAGUUGUUCACUUUGUUGGUAAAGGGGCUUAGCUUUUGCCCUGCUAGCUCUCAAAACACAGAGCUCAAGCUUUAGGCAGAAACCUCAGACAUUGUGUGUGGAGAGUCACUUGCUUUGCACCAGGCGCAUCCAGGCUACUCCAAGCUGGGACCCACCUAGAUGAUAAUCACGGUUUUUGUACUAAAACUGGGAGUGGGUGAUGGACAGUGGCUGAAAAUGUAAGCUUGAGAUUGUCUUAGAAAACCUGCUCUGCAGCAGAAAUUGGCAUAACAUUGAAAUCAACCAUGCUUUAAUAAAAAUUUUUAAAAUUAAAAAAAAAAGAAAGAAAACCUGUCACCAACAUCCUCUGCACCCACAGGCACUUCAGUCCUACAGCAGCCCCUGCCGCCCCCUGCUCCAGGUCUCAACCCACAGCUCCAGACCCCUUGGCUCCUCCUGUUUCCCAGCUUUUCUCCCAGCCUCCUGCUUUGAGCUGAAUCAUACUGAUUGUGUGUGUGUCCUUCGCUGUGACCACUGGUACAAUUGCAAAUCUUCCUGCUGGCAAGUUCUUUUGUCCGACAUCUGCAAGGCUCUUAAUGGUGUUUCUAAUGGAGUCACUCAGAAAGGAGGCAGUCCUCCUGCCAGCUCCUCGUGGGAGGAAGAAUUUCCCUGUUGUUUUGGGAUUAGGGGGUUGCGGGACAAUACAAAGGAGGAGAGGAGAAAGAAUGGGUCAGGACCUCAAAGCCACAUGUGUGAACCUCGAGCACCAGUGCCUUGCAGGGCUGCAGGGCAGCUGUGUAUGUAUGUGGGAGGAGGGGGAAGAUGGGGUCCCAGCAGCUAGGGGCACCAGGCCUGCAGUGGCCUGCACAUUCAUCGCAGGCACUGGUGCACCUGUGCAGUGCUGGCUUGUGGAGCACACUUUUCAAGGCCCUAGAGGUUACAGAACUCAGGCUACCUGAGACAGGGCUCGCUGUGGACACUAAUUUUUCCUUGGCUGCCUUUCUUCAACUUCAGGGGAAGGUAUGCUCACAGGCUUCCUGCCAAACUGCCUGAGUUUGAAUCCCAACUCACCAAGCCCUAGCUGGUGUGACUGUGACCAAGCUUCAUGAUUUUCUGUUUGUCCACUUUUAUUAUCUCUAAAAUGGGGAUAUAUCUACCUCAUGAGGCUGUCCUGAGACUGGGGUAUGGUAAGGGUUCAAUAAAUAUUAUCAUCAUCACUGCCAUCUUAUGAAAGGAGAAAAUAAGACUUGGAGAUCAACACCGGUCAGUUUUUACUUAAUGUCUGAUGGCAGAACUAACACAUAUAUCUGAUUCCAGAUAUAGUUCUCUUUUUAGAUACCAGCUGCCUUUUUUGAUCAAAGAAAUGCAUCCUAAAUGGUGGAUAUCAGAAACCAUAUGGGAGUUCCUGUUGUGGCUCAGUGGUAACGAACCUGACUAAUAUCCAUAAGGACACAAGUUCCAUCCCUGACCUCCAUCAGUGGGUUAAGGAUCCAGCGUUGCGGUGAGCUGUGGUAUAGGUUACAGAUGUGGCUCGGAUCCCACACAGUUGUGACUGUGGCUUAGGCCAGCAGCUGCAGCUCCAAUUAAAACCCUAGUCUGGGAACUUCCAUAUGUUGUGGAUAUGGCCCUAAAAAGCAGAAAAGAAAAAAGAAACCAUAUAGAGAAACACUGGAGAAUGGGUGUGAGGGGAUGGAAGUGGGGGCAUAAGAUCACUUCUUAGGGGUUGAAUCUGCAGGGUCCGCUGCCUUGAAUUUCCAGAAGAAACUUCCUUGUUGUCUGGACCACCUGGUUUGAUCCAAGCAGCUCUAAUGAAAUGACAGGUCUCUUAGACUCCUUGGUGCCCCCUGGUGGUAACAGAUUGCCGCUGGGGCUUUCCUUAAGAGAUGAAAGCAAGGGAGUUCCCUUGUGGCUCAGCAGAAGGAAUCCAACUAGUAUCCAUGAGGACGGGUUCAAUCCCUCGCCUUGCUCAGUGGGUUAAAGAUCCAUCGUUGCUUUGGCUGUGUUGUAGGCCGGCGGCUGCAGCUCCAAUUCAACCCCGGGUGUGGCCCUAAAAAGAAAAAAAAAAAA